rnacentral:SRP_RNA from 1 species
GCUGGGCAUGGUGGCAGGCGCCUGUAGUCCCAGCUACUGGGGAGGCUGAGGCAGGAGAAUGGUGUGAACCCGGGAGGUAGAGUUUGCAGUGAGCCGAGAUUGUGCUGCUGCACUCCAGCCUGGGUGAUAGAAUGAGACUCCGUCUCAAAAUAAAUAAUAAAUAAAAGUAAAAUGUUCAUCUGAGAGGCCUUUAUUUAUUUGGUUGGUUGUUUGAGACUGAGUCUUGCUCUGUCACCCAGGCUGGAGUGCAGCGGCACAAUCUCGGCUCACUGCAAGCUCUGCCUCCCGGGUUCACACCAUUCUCCUGCCUCAG